AUGACAGUCCUAAGUUGGAACUGUCAUGGUUUAGGGCAACCCCGGACAGUUCAGGAACUUAUGUGUUUAGUGCACACAUACAAGCCCAAGCUUGUGUUCCUCUCUGAGACCCGGCAAAGAAAUUCGUAUGUCAAUAAGUUAAAGUGGAGGAUUGGCCUCAGGCAUUGUAUCACGUAACCCAGCAUCGGCAAAGGUGUGGGUAUUGCGCUAUUUUAUGAUGAAAGCGUCGGAUGGCGAUGUACUUUUGUCUACGGAGAACCGAGAGCUAAUGAAAGGCAACACAUGUGGGAGUUACUAAGAAGAAUCAAGAGUAAUUAA
rnacentral:rRNA from 1 species